UUAAGCGACUAAGCGUACACGGUGGAUGCCCUGGCAGUCAGAGGCGAUGAAGGACGUGCUAAUCUGCGAUAAGCGUCGGUAAGGUGAUAUGAACCGUUAUAACCGGCGAUUUCCGAAUGGGGAAACCCAGUGUGAUUCGUCACACUAUCAUUAACUGAAUCCAUAGGUUAAUGAGGCGAACCGGGGGAACUGAAACAUCUAAGUACCCCGAGGAAAAGAAAUCAACCGAGAUUCCCCCAGUAGCGGCGAGCGAACGGGGAGCAGCCCAGAGCCUGAAUCAGUGUGUGUGUUAGUGGAAGCGUCUGGAAAGGCGUGCGAUACAGGGUGACAGCCCCGUACACAAAAAUGCACAUGCUGUGAGCUCGAUGAGUAGGGCGGGACACGUGGUAUCCUGUCUGAAUAUGGGGGGACCAUCCUCCAAGGCUAAAUACUCCUGACUGACCGAUAGUGAACCAGUACCGUGAGGGAAAGGCGAAAAGAACCCCGGCGAGGGGAGUGAAAAAGAACCUGAAACCGUGUACGUACAAGCAGUGGGAGCACAGAGCAAUCUGUGUGACUGCGUACCUUUUGUAUAAUGGGUCAGCGACUUAUAUUCUGUAGCAAGGUUAACCGAAUAGGGGAGCCGAAGGGAAACCGAGUCUUAACUGGGCGUUAAGUUGCAGGGUAUAGACCCGAAACCCGGUGAUCUAGCCAUGGGCAGGUUGAAGGUUGGGUAACACUAACUGGAGGACCGAACCGACUAAUGUUGAAAAAUUAGCGGAUGACUUGUGGCUGGGGGUGAAAGGCCAAUCAAACCGGGAGAUAGCUGGUUCUCCCCGAAAGCUAUUUAGGUAGCGCCUCGUGAAUUCAUCUCCGGGGGUAGAGCACUGUUUCGGCAAGGGGGUCAUCCCGACUUACCAACCCGAUGCAAACUGCGAAUACCGGAGAAUGUUAUCACGGGAGACACACGGCGGGUGCUAACGUCCGUCGUGAAGAGGGAAACAACCCAGACCGCCAGCUAAGGUCCCAAAGUCAUGGUUAAGUGGGAAACGAUGUGGGAAGGCCCAGACAGCCAGGAUGUUGGCUUAGAAGCAGCCAUCAUUUAAAGAAAGCGUAAUAGCUCACUGGUCGAGUCGGCCUGCGCGGAAGAUGUAACGGGGCUAAACCAUGCACCGAAGCUGCGGCAGCGACGCUUAUGCGUUGUUGGGUAGGGGAGCGUUCUGUAAGCCUGCGAAGGUGUGCUGUGAGGCAUGCUGGAGGUAUCAGAAGUGCGAAUGCUGACAUAAGUAACGAUAAAGCGGGUGAAAAGCCCGCUCGCCGGAAGACCAAGGGUUCCUGUCCAACGUUAAUCGGGGCAGGGUGAGUCGACCCCUAAGGCGAGGCCGAAAGGCGUAGUCGAUGGGAAACAGGUUAAUAUUCCUGUACUUGGUGUUACUGCGAAGGGGGACGGAGAAGGCUAUGUUGGCCGGGCGACGGUUGUCCCGGUUUAAGCGUGUAGGCUGGUUUUCCAGGCAAAUCCGGAAAACUAAGGCUGAGGCGUGAUGACGAGGCACUACGGUGCUGAAGCAACAAAUGCCCUGCUUCCAGGAAAAGCCUCUAAGCAUCAGGUAACAUCAAAUCGUACCCCAAACCGACACAGGUGGUCAGGUAGAGAAUACCAAGGCGCUUGAGAGAACUCGGGUGAAGGAACUAGGCAAAAUGGUGCCGUAACUUCGGGAGAAGGCACGCUGAUAUGUAGGUGAAGUCCCUCGCGGAUGGAGCUGAAAUCAGUCGAAGAUACCAGCUGGCUGCAACUGUUUAUUAAAAACACAGCACUGUGCAAACACGAAAGUGGACGUAUACGGUGUGACGCCUGCCCGGUGCCGGAAGGUUAAUUGAUGGGGUUAGCGCAAGCGAAGCUCUUGAUCGAAGCCCCGGUAAACGGCGGCCGUAACUAUAACGGUCCUAAGGUAGCGAAAUUCCUUGUCGGGUAAGUUCCGACCUGCACGAAUGGCGUAAUGAUGGCCAGGCUGUCUCCACCCGAGACUCAGUGAAAUUGAACUCGCUGUGAAGAUGCAGUGUACCCGCGGCAAGACGGAAAGACCCCGUGAACCUUUACUAUAGCUUGACACUGAACAUUGAGCCUUGAUGUGUAGGAUAGGUGGGAGGCUUGGAAGUGUGGACGCCAGUCUGCAUGGAGCCGACCUUGAAAUACCACCCUUUAAUGUUUGAUGUUCUAACGUUGACCCGUGAUCCGGGUUGCGGACAGUGUCUGGUGGGUAGUUUGACUGGGGCGGUCUCCUCCUAAAGAGUAACGGAGGAGCACGAAGGUUGGCUAAUCCUGGUCGGACAUCAGGAGGUUAGUGCAAUGGCAUAAGCCAGCUUGACUGCGAGCGUGACGGCGCGAGCAGGUGCGAAAGCAGGUCAUAGUGAUCCGGUGGUUCUGAAUGGAAGGGCCAUCGCUCAACGGAUAAAAGGUACUCCGGGGAUAACAGGCUGAUACCGCCCAAGAGUUCAUAUCGACGGCGGUGUUUGGCACCUCGAUGUCGGCUCAUCACAUCCUGGGGCUGAAGUAGGUCCCAAGGGUAUGGCUGUUCGCCAUUUAAAGUGGUACGCGAGCUGGGUUUAGAACGUCGUGAGACAGUUCGGUCCCUAUCUGCCGUGGGCGCUGGAGAACUGAGGGGGGCUGCUCCUAGUACGAGAGGACCGGAGUGGACGCAUCACUGGUGUUCGGGUUGUCAUGCCAAUGGCACUGCCCGGUAGCUAAAUGCGGAAGAGAUAAGUGCUGAAAGCAUCUAAGCACGAAACUUGCCCCGAGAUGAGUUCUCCCUGACUCCUUGAGAGUCCUGAAGGAACGUUGAAGACGACGACGUUGAUAGGCCGGGUGUGUAAGCGCAGCGAUGCGUUGAGCUAACCGGUACUAAUGAACCGUGAGGCUUAACCU
rnacentral:rRNA from 1 species